GACGAACGCUGGCGGCGUGCUUAACACAUGCAAGUCGAACGGGCCUUGUCCCCUUUUUUUUGGGGGUGGGGUUAGUGGCGAACGGGUGAGUAACACGUGAGUAACCUGCCCCUCACUUCUGGAUAACCGCUUGAAAGGGUGGCUAAUACGGGGUGUUCUGGCCUGCUCGCAUGGGUGGGUUUGGAAAGAUUCGACCGGUUUUGGUUGUUUUGGUGGGGGAUGGGCUCGCGGCCUAUCAGCUUGUUUGUGGGGUGAUGGCCUGCCAAGGCUUUGACGGGUAGCCGGCCUGAGAGGGUGGGCGGUCACACUGGGACUGAGACACGGCCCAGACUCCUACGGGAGGCAGCAGUGGGGAAUAUUGCACAAUGGGCGCAAGCCUGAUGCAGCGACGCCGCGUGAGGGAUGGAGGCCUUCGGGUUGUGAACCUCUUUCGCCAGUGAAGAAGGUCCUGCUCUUUGUGGUGGGGUUGACGGUAGCUGGGUUAAUGAAGCGCCGGCUAACUACGUG
rnacentral:rRNA from 1 species